AGAGUUUGAUCCUGGCUCAGGACGAACGCUGGCGGCGUGCCUAAUACAUGCAAGUAGAACGCUGAAGAGAGGAGCUUGCUCUUCUUGGAUGAGUUGCGAACGGGUGAGUAACGCGUAGGUAACCUGCCUUGUAGCGGGGGAUAACUAUUGGAAACGAUAGCUAAUACCGCAUAACAAUGGAUGACACAUGUCAUUUAUUUGAAAGGGGCAAUUGCUCCACUACAAGAUGGACCUGCGUUGUAUUAGCUAGUAGGUGAGGUAACGGCUCACCUAGGCGACGAUACAUAGCCGACCUGAGAGGGUGAUCGGCCACACUGGGACUGAGACACGGCCCAGACUCCUACGGGAGGCAGCAGUAGGGAAUCUUCGGCAAUGGGGGCAACCCUGACCGAGCAACGCCGCGUGAGUGAAGAAGGUUUUCGGAUCGUAAAGCUCUGUUGUAAGUCAAGAACGAGUGUGAGAGUGGAAAGUUCACACUGUGACGGUAGCUUACCAGAAAGGGACGGCUAACUACGUGCCAGCAGCCGCGGUAAUACGUAGGUCCCGAGCGUUGUCCGGAUUUAUUGGGCGUAAAGCGAGCGCAGGCGGUUUGAUAAGUCUGAAGUUAAAGGCUGUGGCUCAACCAUAGUUCGCUUUGGAAACUGUCAAACUUGAGUGCAGAAGGGGAGAGUGGAAUUCCAUGUGUAGCGGUGAAAUGCGUAGAUAUAUGGAGGAACACCGGUGGCGAAAGCGGCUCUCUGGUCUGUAACUGACGCUGAGGCUCGAAAGCGUGGGGAGCGAACAGGAUUAGAUACCCUGGUAGUCCACGCCGUAAACGAUGAGUGCUAGGUGUUGGAUCCUUUCCGGGAUUCAGUGCCGCAGCUAACGCAUUAAGCACUCCGCCUGGGGAGUACGACCGCAAGGUUGAAACUCAAAGGAAUUGACGGGGGCCCGCACAAGCGGUGGAGCAUGUGGUUUAAUUCGAAGCAACGCGAAGAACCUUACCAGGUCUUGACAUCCCGAUGCUAUUUCUAGAGAUAGAAAGUUACUUCGGUACAUCGGUGACAGGUGGUGCAUGGUUGUCGUCAGCUCGUGUCGUGAGAUGUUGGGUUAAGUCCCGCAACGAGCGCAACCCCUAUUGUUAGUUGCCAUCAUUCAGUUGGGCACUCUAGCGAGACUGCCGGUAAUAAACCGGAGGAAGGUGGGGAUGACGUCAAAUCAUCAUGCCCCUUAUGACCUGGGCUACACACGUGCUACAAUGGUUGGUACAACGAGUUGCGAGUCGGUGACGGCAAGCUAAUCUCUUAAAGCCAAUCUCAGUUCGGAUUGUAGGCUGCAACUCGCCUACAUGAAGUCGGAAUCGCUAGUAAUCGCGGAUCAGCACGCCGCGGUGAAUACGUUCCCGGGCCUUGUACACACCGCCCGUCACACCACGAGAGUUUGUAACACCCGAUGUCGGUGAGGUAACCUUUUGGAGCCAGCCGCCUAAGGUGGGAUAGAUGAUUGGGGUGAAGUCGUAACAAGGUA
rnacentral:rRNA from 1 species